rnacentral:rRNA from 1 species
UAAUUUGAGAGUUUGAUCCUGGCUCAGGACGAACGCUGGCGGCGUGCCUAAUACAUGCAAGUCGAACGAACUCUGGUAUUGAUUGGUGCUUGCAUCAUGAUUUACAUUUGAGUGAGUGGCGAACUGGUGAGUAACACGUGGGAAACCUGCCCAGAAGCGGGGGAUAACACCUGGAAACAGAUGCUAAUACCGCAUAACAACUUGGACCGCAUGGUCCGAGCUUGAAAGAUGGCUUCGGCUAUCACUUUUGGAUGGUCCCGCGGCGUAUUAGCUAGAUGGUGGGGUAACGGCUCACCAUGGCAAUGAUACGUAGCCGACCUGAGAGGGUAAUCGGCCACAUUGGGACUGAGACACGGCCCAAACUCCUACGGGAGGCAGCAGUAGGGAAUCUUCCACAAUGGACGAAAGUCUGAUGGAGCAACGCCGCGUGAGUGAAGAAGGGUUUCGGCUCGUAAAACUCUGUUGUUAAAGAAGAACAUAUCUGAGAGUAACUGUUCAGGUAUUGACGGUAUUUAACCAGAAAGCCACGGCUAACUACGUGCCAGCAGCCGCGGUAAUACGUAGGUGGCAAGCGUUGUCCGGAUUUAUUGGGCGUAAAGCGAGCGCAGGCGGUUUUUUAAGUCUGAUGUGAAAGCCUUCGGCUCAACCGAAGAAGUGCAUCGGAAACUGGGAAGCUUGAGUGCAGAAGAGGACAGUGGAACUCCAUGUGUAGCGGUGAAAUGCGUAGAUAUAUGGAAGAACACCAGUGGCGAAGGCGGCUGUCUGGUCUGUAACUGACGCUGAGGCUCGAAAGUAUGGGUAGCAAACAGGAUUAGAUACCCUGGUAGUCCAUACCGUAAACGAUGAAUGCUAAGUGUUGGGGGUUUCCGCCCUUCAGUGCUGCAGCUAACGCAUUAAGCAUUCCGCCUGGGGAGUACGGCCGCAAGGCUGAAACUCAAAGGAAUUGACGGGGGCCCGCACAAGCGGUGGAGCAUGUGGUUUAAUUCGAAGCUACGCGAAGAACCUUACCAGGUCUUGACAUACUAUGCAAAUCUAAGAGAUUAGACGUUCCCUUCGGGGACAUGGAUACAGGUGGUGCAUGGUUGUCGUCAGCUCGUGUCGUGAGAUGUUGGGUUAAGUCCCGCAACGAGCGCAACCCUUAUUAUCAGUUGCCAGCAUUAAGUUGGGCACUCUGGUGAGACUGCCGGUGACAAACCGGAGGAAGGUGGGGAUGACGUCAAAUCAUCAUGCCCCUUAUGACCUGGGCUACACACGUGCUACAAUGGAUGGUACAACGAGUUGCGAACUCGCGAGAGUAAGCUAAUCUCUUAAAGCCAUUCUCAGUUCGGAUUGUAGGCUGCAACUCGCCUACAUGAAGUCGGAAUCGCUAGUAAUCGCGGAUCAGCAUGCCGCGGUGAAUACGUUCCCGGGCCUUGUACACACCGCCCGUCACACCAUGAGAGUUUGUAACACCCAAAGUCGGUGGGGUAACCUUUUAGGAACCAGCCGCCUAAGGUGGGACAGAUGAUUAGGGUGAAGUCGUAACAAGGUAGCCGUAGGAGAACCUGCGGCUGGAUCACCUCCUUU